rnacentral:lncRNA from 1 species
AGCAUUCAAAGAACAAAUGUCGCAUAGUCUCAGCCGAUCCUUGGCAUAGAACACAAGUCUCAUCUAUGUUAAUAUUCCAACUCUUCAUCCUGUCACAAGUCGACAGCCUCUCAUGCAUAGCUGUCCAAAGAAUAAAUGAGAACUUCGGAGUGGCGUGCUUGAACCAGACUGCUUUAUACCAAUGACAGAUAAAAUAUUUCUCUCUUAUUACGUGCCAAGUUCCUUUGGUAGUGAACUUUUUCUUGUAGCAACCCUUCUCAUUCUUCCACAUAGAUAUAUCCUCUUCAUUCUUCCAUUUGGCUUUGUAAUUUUCAAUUUCAAUAUCCACUAUGUUCAAAAUGGGAAGUCGAUGAUGCCUUCUUCUAUGGCUCUUGCUAGCAUCAACAUUUGCAUUGAUCGGUAUACCAAGAUCGAUAUGAGCUCCAUUUCCAGUAUAUCUCUUAAACAGCCCAGUGGAGACCAAACUUCAUGCCAGAACAAAGCUUUCCCCCCAUCUC